rnacentral:rRNA from 1 species
GACGAACGCUGGCGGCGCGCUUAACACAUGCAAGUCGAGCGAGAACCGGCCUUCGGGCCGGGGAAAGCGGCGAACGGGUGAGUAACACGUGGGUAAUCUGCCCUCGGCACCGGGAUAGCCCGGGGAAACCCGGAUUAAUACCGGAUGGCCCAUUGAGUCCUCGGAUUCAAAGGAAAAGGUAGCUUCGGCCUCCGGCCGAGGAUGAGCCCGCGGCGGAUUAGCUUGUUGGUGGGGUAACGGCCUACCAAGGCGACGAUCCGUAGCUGGUCUGAGGGGACGAUCAGCCACACUGGGACUGAGACACGGCCCAGACUCCUACGUGAGGCAGCAGUGGGGAAGCUUGCGCAAUGGGCGAAAGCCUGACGCAGCGACGCCGCGUGAGGGAAGAAGGCCUUCGGGUUGUAAACCUCUUUCAGGAGGGACGAAGCCACUCGGGUUAAUAGCCCAGAGGGUGACGGUACCUCCAGAAGAAGCCCCGGCUAACUACGUGCCAGCCGCCGCAGUAACAC